AUUUGUGCACAAUUUAAUAAGUUCAUCAUGUAUACAUAAUGGUAAUUACUGUUAAGUCCGUCUUAGACAUUAUUUAUAAUAAUGUUGCUGUUAAUAAUCAAAAUUGUAACUCGCCGGUUCCAUGGAAUUGUCUGCACCUUGAUCUGUCUUUUUAAUAUUAAUUAUAGUGGUAAAACUUUAAGUGUUACCUGACGACGACGGCAUACAAGAAUUUUCCAUGGUUGUUUUACCUUGGUGGUUGUCAUUUAUAAGGUAAGUUCCCCUAAAUUUAAAUUACCGCCAUGUUGUUUAAGUUUUAACUCUUAUAGUUGUAGUACUCCGCAAAAUAACGUGGGCAUUUGUAUAAAGGGGUAUCUAAUCCCUGUCUAUCACUAAUGUUUGGAAAAUUUUUCACGCAGUUAGAGCUACGAAUUGAUAUAUUUCACCACUCAUGUAAUAGUACUGGCGUGUUAUGUCGCUGCUUACGUCUUUUUCACUAAAGUCUGACCGC
rnacentral:rRNA from 1 species